CCAAACUUGGUCAUUUAGAGGAAGUAAAAGUCGUAACAAGGUUUCCGUAGGUGAACCUGCGGAAGGAUCAUUACCAUGGACGGUUCCUCUGGAACCUGGCUCCCCCCGCGCCCUGCCCGCCCCGCGCGCGGCUGGGUGCGGGCGAGACCGAAACACCCCACUGUGAACUUUUUUCAAUCCUUUCUUGCUUCGGCAGCACGCCCUGCAGGCCCUGGGUCCGCUCGGCGGUAAGGCUGCCGCUGGCGCAACCCAACAGAACCACGUUAACGCUAAAAGAUGAAACAUGUUAUCGGGGUAUUCCACCCCGCAUUCUUGAAUCGAAGAAACCUACAAAACUUUCAGCAACGGAUCUCUUGGUUCCCGCAUCGAUGAAGAACGCAGC
rnacentral:misc_RNA from 1 species